rnacentral:tRNA from 1 species
CGCAGAGUGGAGCAGUCAGGUAGCUCGUCUGGUUCAUACCCAGAAGGUCGGUGGUUCGAAUCCACCCUCUGCACCCA